GGGUGAGUAACACGUGGAUAACCUACCUAUAAGACUGGGAUAACUUCGGGAAACCGGAGCUAAUACCGGAUAAUAUAUUGAACCGCAUGGUUCAAUAGUGAAAGACGGUUUUGCUGUCACUUAUAGAUGGAUCCGCGCCGCAUUAGCUAGUUGGUAAGGUAACGGCUUACCAAGGCAACGAUGCGUAGCCGACCUGAGAGGGUGAUCGGCCGCACUGGAACUGAGACACGGUCCAG
rnacentral:rRNA from 1 species